rnacentral:lncRNA from 1 species
CUCCUGCCUCAGACUCCUGUCAAAAUAAUGACAGGUGUGUCCAGAACUCAGAGCAUCCUUGGACCAUUUACUCACAAUGGCUGGGUAACUGACAAUAAGCCAGAGGCUAUUUGGUCAUCAGGCUGCAAGAAAACUAGCUGCCUUUGGACUGUAGCACAGGUAACCUCUGUCCCAAAGAUUUAAACAACCAGACUCAGUUCUACCUCUGCUGCCCCAAACCAAGAUCAAUGGAGUGAGGAAGUCAGGUAAGACUGACAUCCUCACACCAUCUCUACACCUCUGGCCCCACAUUCUACCUUGGAGAGCUCCACAUUCAGGUCAUACACCUCCUGGCUCACUUCAGGUGUGGACAUCAAAUCUAUCAGGGCUUUGUAGAGGAGGCCACUCAGGGCCCUCAAGCGCACAUGGUCUUCCUUCCUGGUCUUCUUUGAGGUAGCCUUCAGGAGGGAUUCCAACUUGGAUGGCUUCUGAGAGGCCCCAACAAACACCUCAGUAAGAGUUAAGCACAUCUGGCACCCAAACCAUGGUUUCACAACACCACUUUCCAAUAACCAGGCUCCCAGGAGAAAUGGCUGAUUGUAAGGCUGAGCCAAAAGUAUAUAAGGUGAUUAUCAACCAUUUUACAGCGCCAAAAGAUAAAGAAAUGCUAAAUACUUGCAGACACAGCAAACCCCCGCAAGAUGAGGAGGCCGCGGAGCCCCGCAGACCCCGUGCUGGGCAGAGAAGCCGCACACUAUGGCUGCCACCCCACAGCGCGCGCAAUCCGGCGCAGGGGGACCACAGUUCGCGCGCCACAGCCCACAUGCCUCGGAGAUAGCUGGAACACAGGCAGGCGCGGGGUACGACGGGAUGCGUGGGCGGAGCGAAGAAGGCUUUUGGGC